AUUACUUUGGCAGAUUUUAAGUGUAAUAAAUUUAGAAUUUAUAAAUAAUUAAUUAAUUAAGUAAUA
rnacentral:tRNA from 1 species